GAGGGAAAAAAAGCCUGGCUGGCUGUAAGUUCGAGACUGGUGUCUUCUUAAGAGAAAGGACACAGAGAGACACAGGGAGGAGGCCGUGUGAGGACGGAGGCAGACCCAG